CCCGUCGACGACGAUGAAGUUGUCUCCCAUAUCCUAAACGGACUAGAUUACGACUACAAUCCUUUUGUGUCGUCUAUGCUUAGCCAUGUGGAGCCAAUAUCAUUGUCAGAUCUAUUUUCUCAACUCCUAUCUUAUGAUC